rnacentral:rRNA from 1 species
UGGGGAAUAUUGGACAAUGGGCGAAAGCCUGAUCCAGCAAUGCCGCGUGGGUGAAGAAGGUCUUCGGAUUGUAAAGCCCUUUCGGCGGGGACGAUGAUGACGGUACCCGCAGAAGAAGCCCCGGCUAACUUCGUGCCAGCAGCCGCGGUAAUACGAAGGGGGCUAGCGUUGCUCGGAAUGACUGGGCGUAAAGGGCGCGUAGGCGGCGGACACAGUCAGGCGUGAAAUUCCCGGGCUCAACCUGGGGGCUGCGCUUGAUACAUGUCUGCUUGAGUUCGGAAGAGGGUCGUGGAAUUCCCAGUGUAGAGGUGAAAUUCGUAGAUAUUGGGAAGAACACCGGUGGCGAAGGCGGCGACCUGGUCCGAUACUGACGCUGAGGCGCGAAAGCGUGGGGAGCAAAC